CACUGUCACUCCUACGGGGAGGCAGCAGUGGGGAAUAUUGCACAAUGGGCGCAAGCCUGAUGCAGCCAUGCCGCGUGUAUGAAGAAGGCCUUCGGGUUGUAAAGUACUUUCAGUCGUGAGGAAGGCGGCGCGUUAAUAGCGGCGUUGUUUGACGUUAGCGACAGAAGAAAGCACCGGCUAACUCCGUGCCAGCAGCCGCGGUAAUACGGAGGGUGCGAGCGUUAAUCGGAAUUACUGGGCGUAAAGCGCAUGCAGGUGGUUUGUUAAGUCAGAUGUGAAAGCCCGGGGCGUCAACCUCGGAAUUGCAUUUGAAACUAGGCAGACUAGAGUACUGUAGAGGGGGGUAGGAAUUUCAGGUGUAGCGGUGAAAUGCGUAGAGAUCUGAAGGAAUACCGGUGGCGAAGGCGGCCCCCUCGGACAGAUACUGACACUCAGAUGCGAAAGCGUGGGGAGCAAACAGGAUUAGAUACCCUGGUAG
rnacentral:rRNA from 1 species